rnacentral:rRNA from 1 species
AUCGGACCCAAUUCGGUGUCCAAUCUAUGCAACUUCCAAGUCUUCUGUGAAGUAUACUUACAAGAAGAACCAAUUGCUGAGCUGUUCCAGGACUUUUUUCAUCUGAACCGGCAUACAGAAUUUGUAAACGGUCCCAACACUAAACUUGGUGGUGUCUCCAUUCAAAAGCGGAAAGAAGUUGAAUUCCCUCAUGCCAAACUGCACAGUCACCCUAAGGAAUGGAACCAGACUUGGUUCUACUGCAUAGAUACCUCUCCUCAAGAUGAGAACCCUCUUCCAAGCUACCAUGAUCACCGGCUUUCCAACACUCAUCCAAUGCCGCAACGUUUAAGUUCCGUGGAACGGGCCAAAUAUGCCCCUCAACUCGCCAAGCUCCGGGCCUUUAUGGCCAACGGUUUAACAGGCGUUGAUUUUGUGUGUUGCUGGAUAUCUUGGAACGUCUUGCCACUAAGCCGCCGCCCUGGUUUAAUGUGUGAGUACACCGGUGAAUUAGAAGACCCCCAACGCCACAUAAACAUUCGGGUAACCAAUGAAGAGGUCACUGAAAGCGUCAAGAAAAUUUUGAAUGAACCGGAGUCAGUCUGUCACCAAACUGGCUUGAACCCCUUCUACACUCAAAAUAAACCACCUACUGUAAGCACUAUGCUUCCUUUUUAUCUUUGA